GCGGGCGUGGCGGAAUCUGGCAGACGCGCCAGUCUGAGAGGCUGGUGACCCGCCUGGGUCAUGGGAGUUCGAGUCUCCCCGCCCGCA
rnacentral:tRNA from 1 species